GUGGGGAAUUUUGGACAAUGGGCGCAAGCCUGAUCCAGCCAUGCCGCGUGCAGGAUGAAGGCCUUCGGGUUGUAAACUGCUUUUGUACGGAACGAAACGGUCCGGGUUAAUACCCUGGGCUAAUGACGGUACCGUCAGAAUAAGCACCGGCUAACUACGUGCCAGCAGCCGCGGUAAUACGUAGGGUGCAAGCGUUAAUCGGAAUUACUGGGCGUCAAGCGCGCGUAGGUGGGUUUGUAAGUUGGAGGUGAAAUCCCCGGGCUCAACCUGGGAACUGCCUCCAAAACUGCAUGACUAGAGUACGGUAGAGGGUAGUGGAAUUUCCUGUGUAGCGGUGAAAUGCGUAGAUAUAGGAAGGAACACCAGUGGCGAAGGCGACUACCUGGACUGAUACUGACACUGAGGUGCGAAAGCGUGGGGAGCAAACAGGAUUAGAAACCCCAGUAGUCC
rnacentral:rRNA from 1 species